UACGUAGGGCGCAGGCGUUGUCCGGAAUUAUUGGGCGUAAGAGCUCGUAGGCGGCUUGUCACGUCGGGUGUGAAAGCCCGGGGCUUAACCCCGGGUCUGCAUUCGAUACGGGCUAGCUAGAGUGUGGUAGGGGAGAUCGGAAUUCCUGGUGUAGCGGUGAAAUGCGCAGAUAUCAGGAGGAACACCGGUGGCGAAGGCGGAUCUCUGGGCCGUAACUGACGCUGAGGAGCGAAAGCAUGGGGAACGAACGG
rnacentral:rRNA from 1 species